rnacentral:tRNA from 1 species
GGGGCCCGUAGCUCAGCCCGGUUAGAGCGGCGGGCUUUUAUAACCCGUAGGUCGUGGGUUCGAAUCCCACCGGGCCCGCC